CCGCUGUGGGUGACCAGGACAGGGCCCGGGGCGUUUCUGGCGCCCCCGACAACCGGCUGGUCGCGUACCAGCUCGGCGUU
rnacentral:tRNA from 3 species